rnacentral:rRNA from 1 species
GACGAACGCUGGCGGCGUGCCUAAUACAUGCAAGUCGAACGCACUCUCGUUUAGAUUGAAGGAGCUUGCUCCUGAUUGAUAAACAUUUGAGUGAGUGGCGGACGGUGAGUAACACGUGGGUAACCUGCCCUAAAGUGGGGAUAACAUUUGGAAACAGAUGCUAAUACCGCAUAAAACCUAAACACCGCAUGGUGUAGGGUUGAAAGAUGGUUUCGGCUAUCACUUUAGGAUGGACCCGCGGUGCAUUAGUUAGUGGUGAGGUAAAGGCUCACCAAGACCGUGAUGCAUAGCCGACCUGAGGGGUAAUCGGCCACACUGGGACUGAGACACGGCCCAGACUCCUACGGGAGCAGCAGUAGGGAAUCUUCCACAAUGGACGAAAG